rnacentral:rRNA from 1 species
GACGAACGCUGGCGGCGUGCUUAACACAUGCAAGUCGAGCGGUAAGGCCCUUUCGGGGGUACACGAGCGGCGAACGGGUGAGUAACACGUGGGUGACCUGCCCUCAGCUCUGGGAUAAGCCUGGGAAACCGGGUCUAAUACUGGAUAUGACUCCAUGACGCAUGUUGUGGGGUGGAAAGCCUUGUGCGGCUGAGGAUGGGCCCGCGGCCUAUCAGCUUGUUGGUGGGGNGAUGGCCUACCAAGGCGACGACGGGUAGCCGGCCUGAGAGGGCGACCGGCCACACUGGGACUGAGACACGGCCCAGACUCCUACGGGAGGCAGCAGUGGGGAAUCUUGCGCAAUGGGCGAAAGCCUGACGCAGCGACGCCGCGUGAGGGA